rnacentral:rRNA from 1 species
AGCGUUGUUCGGAAUUACUGGGCGUAAAGAGCUCGUAGGCGGUCUGUCGCGUCUGCUGUGAAAACUCGGGGCUUAACCCCGGGCCUGCAGUGGGUACGGGCAGACUAGAGUGCGGUAGGGGAGACUGGAAUUCCUGGUGUAGCGGUGAAAUGCGCAGAUAUCAGGAGGAACACCGGUGGCGAAGGCGGGUCUCUGGGCCGUAACUGACGCUGAGGAGCGAAAGCAUGGGGAGCGAACAGG